rnacentral:tRNA from 1 species
GCCGGGAUGGCGGAACAGGUAGACGCGCCAGACUCAAAAUCUGGUGGGCAUUCGCCCGUGUGGGUUCGAUUCCCUCUCCCGGCACCA